CCUACGGGAGGCUGCAGUGGGGGAUAUUGCACAAUGGGGGGAACCCUGAUGCAGCGACGCCGCGUGGGUGAAGGAGUGCUUCGGCAUGUAAAGCCCUAUCGGCAGGGAAGAAGCAAGACGGUACCUGACUAAGAAGCCCCGGCUAACUACGUGCCAGCAGCCGCGGUAAUACGUAGGGGGCGAGCGUUAUACGGAUUCACUGGGUGUAAAGGGAGCGUAGACGGCCAUGCAAGCCAGGGGUGAAAGCCCGGGGCCCAACCCCGGGACUGCACUUGGUACUGCAUGGCUGGAGUGCGGGAGGGGCAGGCGGAAUUCCUGGUGUAGCGGUGAAAGGCGUAGAUAUCAGGAGGAACACUGGCGGCGAAGGCGGGCUGCUGGACCGCGACUGACGUUGAGGCUCGAAAGCGUGGGGAGCGAACAGGAUUAGAUACCCGGGUAGUC
rnacentral:rRNA from 1 species